ACAGGAGAGAUGCUCUAGUCCCUUCAUCAUCUUAGUGGAGCUUUGCUGGACUCUUUCCAGUAUGUCCAGGUCUUGCUUGUACUGGGGAGCCUAAAACUAGACACAGCACUCCAGGUGUGGCCUCACACAGUGCUGAGUAGAGGAGAAGGAUCAUCUCCCUCCACCUGCUGGCAAUACUUCCCUAAUGCAGCCCAGGAUACUAUUCAUCAUCUUUGCA